rnacentral:rRNA from 1 species
GCAACGCGAACGAACCUUACCUGGUUCUUGACAUCCACGGAAGUUUUCCAGAGAUGAGAAUGUGCCUUCGGGAACCGUGAGACAGGUGCUGCAUGGCUGUCGUCAGCUCGUGUUGUGAAAUGUUGGGUUAAGUCCCGCAACGAGCGCAACCCUUAUCCUUUGUUGCCAGCGGUCCGGCCGGGAACUCAAAGGAGGCUGCCAGUGAUAAACUGGAGGAAGGUGGGGAUGACGUCAAGUCAUCAUGGCCCUUACGACCAGGGCUACACACGUGCUACAAUGGCGCAUACAAAGAGAAGCGACCUCGCGAGAGCAAGCGGACCUCAUAAAGUGCGUCGUAGUCCGGAUUGGAGUCUGCAACUCGACUCCAUGAAGUCGGAAUCGCUAGUAAUCGUGGAUCAGAAUGCCACUGUGAAUACGUUCCCGGGCCUU